GAUGAACGCUGGCGGCGUGCCUAAUACAUGCAAGUCGAGCGAACAGACGAGGAGCUUGCUCCUCUGAUGUUAGCGGCGGACGGGUGAGUAACACGUGGAUAACCUACCUAUAAGACUGGGAUAACUUCGGGAAACCGGAGCUAAUACCGGAUAACAUGUUGAACCGCAUGGUUCAACAGUGAAAGACGGUCUUGCUGUCACUUAUAGAUGGAUCCGCGCCGCAUUAGCUAGUUGGUAAGGUAACGGCUUACCAAGGCAACGAUGCGUAGCCGACCUGAGAGGGUGAUCGGCCACACUGGAACUGAGACGCGGUCCAGGCUCCUACGGGAGGCAGCAGUAGGGAAUCUUCCGCAAUGGGCGAAAGCCUGACGGAGCAACGCCGCGUGAGUGAAGAAGGUCUUCGGAUCGUAAAACUCUGUUAUUAGGGAAGAACAAAUGUGUAAGUAACUAUGCACGUCUUGACGGUACCUAAUCAGAAAGCCACGGCUAACUACGUG
rnacentral:rRNA from 1 species